GUCCACGCCGUAAACGAUGGGUACUAGAUGUUGCGGGAAUUGACCCCUGCAGUGUCGAAGCUAACGCAUUAAGUACCCCGCCUGGGGAAGUACGGCCGCAAGGUUAAAACUCAAAGGAAUUGACGGGGGCCCGCACAAGCGGUGGAGCAUGUGGUUUAAUUCGAUGCAACGCGAAGAACCUUACCUGGGUUUGACAUCCUCUGACAGCUCUAGAGAUAGAGUCUUGUAGCAAUACACAGAGAGACAGGUGCUGCAUGGCUGUCGU
rnacentral:rRNA from 1 species